rnacentral:ncRNA from 1 species
AUUCUCAUCAGACAGUGCCAGGUGGGGAGUUUGACUGGGGUGGUACACUUGUCAAAUGGUAACACAGGUGUCCUAAGGUGAGAUCAGGGAGGACAGAAACCUCCCAAGGAGCAGAAGGGCAAAAGCUCACUUGAUUUUCAGUAUGAAUACAGACCACAAAAAUGGAGCCCAGAGCCACACCCCUUCUGAUUGCUAGUGGCAAA